rnacentral:rRNA from 1 species
UACGUAGGGUGCAGGCGUUAAUCGGAAUUACUGGGCGUAAAGCGUGCGCAGGCGGUUUCUUAAGUCAGAUGUGAAAGCCCCGGGCUUAACCUGGGAACUGCGUUUGAAACUGGGAGACUCGAGUGUGGCAGAGGGGGGUGGAAUUCCACGUGUAGCAGUGAAAUGCGUAGAUAUGUGGAGGAACACCGAUGGCGAAGGCAGCCCCCUGGGUCAACACUGACGCUCAUGCACGAAAGCGUGGGGAUCAAACAGG